rnacentral:rRNA from 1 species
UAGGGAAUCUUCGGCAAUGGGGGGAACCCUGACCGAGCAACGCCGCGUGAGUGAAGAAGGUUUUCGGAUCGUAAAGCUCUGUUGUUAAGGAAGAACGAGUGUGAGAAUGGAAAGUUCAUACUGUGACGGUACUUAACCAGAAAGGGACGGCUAACUACGCGCCAGCAGCCGCGGUAAUACGUAGGUCCCGAGCGUUGUCCGGAUUUAUUGGGCGUAAAGCGAGCGCAGGCGGUUAGAUAAGUCUGAAGUUAAAGGCAGUGGCUCAACCAUUGUAGGCUUUGGAAACUGUUUAACUUGAGUGCAGAAGGGGAGAGUGGAAUUCCAUGUGUAGCGGUGAAAUGCGUAGAUAUAUGGAGGAACACCGGUGGCGAAAGCGGCUCUCUGGUCUGUAACUGACGCUGAGGCUCGAAAGCGUGGGGAGCGAACAGG